GACAGAGGGUGCAAACGUUGCUCGGAAUUACUGGGCGUAAAGGGCGCGUAGGCGGCCUGUUAAGUCGAACGUGAAAUCCCCGGGCUCAACCCGGGAACUGCGUCCGAUACUGGCAGGCUUGAAUUCGGGAGAGGGAUGUGGAAUUCCAGGUGUAGCGGUGAAAUGCGUAGAUAUCUGGAGGAACACCGGUGGCGAAGGCGGCAUCCUGGACCGAUAUUGACGCUGAUGCGCGAAAGCCAGGGGAGCAAACGGG
rnacentral:rRNA from 1 species